AUGGCGCUAUUUCAGGAAUUCUACGUCGGUGCGAUUGACCCGGCCCGGCUGAACAGCAGGAUCAUCACUCUCAUCCCUAAGGUGGCCGGGGCCUCAGACAUCCCCCAAUUCCGCCCUAUUACGGUGACCAAUGUGAUCUUCCGUAUUCCGGUGAAGGGGUAUGCCAAUAGGGUGACCCUGCUCACAGACCACAUCACCCAUAAGAAUCAGCCGACCUUCGUCCAGCGCUGAUACAUCCUUGAUAGGGUGUUAGUGUUCCAUGAAGUCCUUCACGAGGUCCGAGCCAGACAUCAGAAGGCGGUCUUCCUGAAGAUUGACUUCCAUAAGGCCAACAACGCUGUCAACUGGUCCUUCCUUCAGGAAGUCCUCCUCCGUAAAGGGUUCGGUGAUAGAUGGGUCACUCGUGUGAUGCAGAUGGUGUCCUACGACCGCAUGAUACGUCUCCGUCGUAUCUAUAAUUUUUUAUUGUUUCAUGCCAAUGUUAUACAACUUUCACAUAUUUUGGCAACUUUUUAUAUGAUUUAUUGGACUAACCUAUUGAUCUGGUGCCCAGUGCUAGUUCCUGUUUUUUGCAUGUUUUUUGUUUCGCAGAAAAUCCAUAUCAAACAAAGUCCAAACGCGAUAAAAAUUUACGGAGAAUUAUUUUGGAAUAUAUGUGAUUUUUGGGACUUGGAAUCAACGCAAACGGAGGCCCACAGUGCCCAAGAGACACCAGGGCGCGCCCCAGGCUCCAGGCGUGUGGUGGUGGGUUGUGCUCACCUUGUACAUCGGUUGGGGCUCUACUUCGGGUGCAACGAAGCUUAUGUCCAGAAAUAA
rnacentral:rRNA from 1 species